CCUACGGGUGGCAGCAGUGAGGAAUAUUGGUCAAUGGACGCAAGCCUGAACCAGCCAAGCAGCGUGAAGGAUGACUGCCCUACGGGUUGUAAACUUCUUUUGUAAAGGAAUAAAGUGAGACACGUGUGCCUUUUUGUAUGUACUUUAUGAAUAAGGAUCGGCUAACUCCGUGCCAGCAGCCGCGGUAAUACGGAGGAUCCGAGCGUUAUCCGGAUUUAUUGGGUUUAAAGGGAGCGUAGAUGGUUUGUUAAGUCAGUUGUGAAAGUUUGCGGCUCAACCGUAAAAUUGCAAUUGAUACUGGUAGUCUUGAGUACAGUUGAGGUAGGCGGAAUUCGUGGUGUAGCGGUGAAAUGCUUAGAUAUCACGAAGAACUCCGAUUGCGAAGGCAGCUUACUAAGCUGCCACUGACAUUGAUGCUCGAAAGUGUGGGUAUCAAACAGGAUUAGAUACCCGGGUAGUC
rnacentral:rRNA from 1 species